rnacentral:rRNA from 1 species
UAAGCGACUAAGCGUACACGGUGGAUGCCCUGGCAGUCAGAGGCGAUGAAGGGCGUGCUAAUCUGCGAUAAGCGCCGGUAAGGUGAUAUGAACCGUUAUAACCGGCGAUACCCGAAUGGGGAAACCCAGUGUGACUCGUCACACUAUCAUUAACUGAAUCCAUAGGUUAAUGAGGCGAACCGGGGGAACUGAAACAUCUAAGUACCCCGAGGAAAAGAAAUCAACCGAGAUUCCCCCAGUAGCGGCGAGCGAACGGGGAGGAGCCCAGAGCCUGAAUCAGCAUGUGUGUUAGUGGAAGCGUCUGGAAAGGCGCGCGAUACAGGGUGACAGCCCCGUACACAAAAGCGCAUGUGCUGUGAGCUCGAUGAGUAGGGCGGGACACGUGGUAUCCUGUCUGAAUAUGGGGGGACCAUCCUCCAAGGCUAAAUACUCCUGACUGACCGAUAGUGAACCAGUACCGUGAGGGAAAGGCGAAAAGAACCCCGGCGAGGGGAGUGAAAAAGAACCUGAAACCGUGUACGUACAAGCAGUGGGAGCACCCUUUGGGUGUGACUGCGUACCUUUUGUAUAAUGGGUCAGCGACUUAUAUUCUGUAGCAAGGUUAACCGAAUAGGGGAGCCGGAGGGAAACCGAGUCUUAACCGGGCGUUAAGUUGCAGGGUAUAGACCCGAAACCCGGUGAUCUAGCCAUGGGCAGGUUGAAGGUUGGGUAACACUAACUGGAGGACCGAACCGACUAAUGUUGAAAAAUUAGCGGAUGACCUGUGGCUGGGGGUGAAAGGCCAAUCAAACCGGGAGAUAGCUGGUUCUCCCCGAAAGCUAUUUAGGUAGCGCCUCGUGAAUUCAUCUCCGGGGGUAGAGCACUGUUUCGGCUAGGGGGCCAUCCCGGCUUACCAACCCGAUGCAAACUGCGAAUACCGGAGAAUGUUAUCACGGGAGACACACGGCGGGUGCUAACGUCCGUCGUGAAGAGGGAAACAACCCAGACCGCCAGCUAAGGUCCCAAAGUCAUGGUUAAGUGGGAAACGAUGUGGGAAGGCCCAGACAGCCAGGAUGUUGGCUUAGAAGCAGCCAUCAU